GUGGUGCUUUUCUCGAAGAUUGCGAACGAGGAAAAUAACUCGUAGAGAUGUUAAGAUUAAACAUGUUUUCUAUACACGCCCUUUGCGCAAUCCUUGCCGAAUGUUUUGGAAAACGACAGCCCCGCUUGAGUUUCAAGGCGAAAACAUUGCAGCCCUGAGAUACGGUGGAGCGUGAUAAGAUGAGUACGUUUUGUCAAGUGUUAGUAGUUUUAUGUAUUCAACUGCUUUCGCCCAGCCAGGGAACAACAAACAAGUAUGAAAGAAAUAAGGCUUGUCUAAAACCACCUACGAAAAAAAACUGCACUACAUUAGAAUACAAGUGGAGUUUCAUUGAAGAAUUAAAUGGUUGCUACGAAAAUAAAGUGUGCUCGGACAACAUAAACAAGUUCGACGACAAGUUCAAGUGUGCAAGGGCCUGUCCACCACUUUGGCGGCCCUUACAUCCAAGGAAAAAGAUUACUUGCAGUGAUUGGCUCCGCGGAAAUCCAUGUUACCAAUACUGGCUUGAAUAUUAUCCCGACAUUUACGGAUUUUUUCGUCCCUACAUGUUUUAUACGGCAUGCCGAGUAUGGAAAAACAAACUAUAUGUGUGCGAUCCAUGGACAAAGACCUGUCCAGGCCAAACUGCGCGUGAAGAAAGGUGACCGAACCGCUCUGCACUGAAUUGGGCAGACUAGACUACAGCAGAACGGAAAAGGGGGCACUCAAGAUGUUCGGAUUAUACUGGUUGUCAGUGCCUCUGUUUUAAGUCAUGCCGGUGCCCUCGAAAGAAGUGAUGAUUGUGACAUGCGACCUACCGUAGAAGGAUGCAGCAUUAUACGAAGGAAGUGGAGCUUCGUACCCGAAGCGGGGAAGUGCGAACUCAACUUUGUCUGUUCUCAGCACCCCAAUUCAUU
rnacentral:lncRNA from 1 species